rnacentral:rRNA from 1 species
GGAUUCCCCCUAGUAACUGCGAGUGAAGCGGGAAAAGCUCAAAUUUAAAAUCUGGCGGUCUUUGGCCGUCCGAGUUGUAAUCUAGAGAAGUAAUGCCCGUGCUGGACCGUGUAUAAGUCUCCUGGGAUGGGGCGUCAUAGAGGGUGAGAAUCCCGUCUUUGACACGGACUACCAGUGCAUUGUGGUAUGCUCUCAAAGAGUCGAGUUGUUUGGGAAUGCAGCUCAAAAUGGGUGGUAAAUUCCAUCUAAAGCUAAAUAUUGGCGAGAGACCGAUAGCGAACAAGUACCGUGAGGGAAAGAUGAAAAGAACUUUGGAAAGAGAGUUAAACAGUACGUGAAAUUGCUGAAAGGGAAACGCUUGAAGUCAGUCGCGUUGGCCAGGGAUCAGCCUUGCUUUUGCAUGGUGUACUUUCUGGUUGACGGGUCAGCAUCAAUUUUGACCGCUGGAAAAGGGCCUGGGGAAUGUGGCAGCUUCGGCUGUGUUAUAGCCCCUGGUCGCAUACAGUGGUUGGGAUUGAGGAACUCAGCACGCCGCAAGGCCGGGUUUCGACCACGUUCGUGCUUAGGAUGCUGGCAUAAUGGCUUUAAGCGACCCGUCUUGAAACACGGACCAAGGAGUCUAACAUGCCUGCGAGUAUUUGGGUGGAAAACCCGAGUGCGCAAUGAAAGUGAAAGUUGAGAUCCCUGUCGUGGGGAGCAUCGACGCCCGGACCAGAACUUUUGGGACGGAUCCGCGGUGGAGCAUGUAUGUUGGGACCCGAAAGAUGGUGAACUAUGCCUGAAUAGGGUGAAGCCAGAGGAAACUCUGGUGGAGGCUCGUAGCGAUUCUGACGUGCAAAUCGAUCGUCAAAUUUGGGUAUAGGGGGCGAAA